rnacentral:guide_RNA from 1 species
AAACAAAACAAAGAUAAAGAUGCAGUAUAUAGUAGAGAGAUGAUAUUAAU